GUACUUCUUACAAUUGCGAUGGGGGGACGGAGAAGGCUAGGUGGGCCUGGCGACGGUUGUCCAGGUUCAAGUACGUAGGCGGGUGGUUUAGGUAAAUCCGGACCGCUACUAACGCUGAGAUACGAUGUCGAGCUACUACGGUAGUGAAGUCAUUGAUGCCAUGCUUCCAGGAAAAGCCUCUAAGCUUCAGAUUGUAAGGAAUCGUACCCCAAACCGACACAGGUGGUCGGGUAGAGAAUACCAAGGCGCUUGAGAGAACUCGGGUGAAGGAACUAGGCAAAAUGGUACCGUAACUUCGGGAGAAGGUACGCUCUUAUCAGUGAAGUCCCUUGCGGAUGGAGCAGACGAGAGUCGCAGAUACCAGGUGGCUGCAACUGUUUAUUAAAAACACAGCACUGUGCAAAAUCGUAAGAUGACGUAUACGGUGUGACGCCUGCCCGGUGCCGGAAGGUUAAUUGAUGGGGUUAGACUUCGGUCGAAGCUCUUGAUCGAAGCCCCGGUAAACGGCGGCCGUAACUAUAACGGUCCUAAGGUAGCGAAAUUCCUUGUCGGGUAAGUUCCGACCUGCACGAAUGGCGUAAUGAUGGCCACGCUGUCUCCACCCGAGACUCAGUGAAAUUGAAAUCGCUGUGAAGAUGCAGUGUACCCGCGGCUAGACGGAAAGACCCCGUGAACCUUUACUACAGCUUGGCACUGAACAUUGAACCUACAUGUGUAGGAUAGGUGGGAGACUUUGAAACCGCGUCGCUAGAUGUGGUGGAGUCGUCCUUGAAAUACCACCCUUGUAGUUUUGAUGUUCUAACGUUGGUCCCUGAAUCGGGAUUACGGACAGUGCCUGGUGGGUAGUUUGACUGGGGCGGUCUCCUCCCAAAGAGUAACGGAGGAGCACGAAGGUGGGCUAAACACGGUUGGACAUCGUGUGGUUAGUGCAAUGGCAUAAGCCCGCUUGACUGCGAGAAUGACAAUUCGAGCAGGUGCGAAAGCAGGUCAUAGUGAUCCGGUGGUUCUGAAUGGAAGGGCCAUCGCUCAACGGAUAAAAGGUACUCCGGGGAUAACAGGCUGAUACCGCCCAAGAGUUCAUAUCGACGGCGGUGUUUGGCACCUCGAUGUCGGCUCAUCACAUCCUGGGGCUGAAGUCGGUCCCAAGGGUAUGGCUGUUCGCCAUUUAAAGUGGUACGCGAGCUGGGUUUAGAACGUCGUGAGACAGUUCGGUCCCUAUCUGCCGUGGGCGUUGGAAAAUUGAAAGGGGCUGCUCCUAGUACGAGAGGACCGGAGUGGACGAACCUCUGGUGUUCGGGUUGUCAUGCCAAUGGCAUUGCCCGGUAGCUAAGUUCGGAAUCGAUAACCGCUGAAAGCAUCUAAGCGGGAAGCGAGCCUUGAGAUGAGUUUUCCCUGGCGCU
rnacentral:rRNA from 1 species